rnacentral:rRNA from 1 species
AGCGAACGCUGGCGGCAGGCCUAACACAUGCAAGUCGAACGAACUCUUCGGAGUUAGUGGCGGACGGGUGAGUAACACGUGGGAACGUGCCUUUUGGUUCGGAAUAACUCAGGGAAACUUGUGCUAAUACCGAAUGUGCCCUUCGGGGGAAAGAUUUAUCGCCAUUAGAGCGGCCCGCGUCUGAUUAGCUAGUUGAUGAGGUAACGGCUCACCAAGGCGACGAUCAGUAGCUGGUCUGAGAGGAUGACCAGCCACACUGGGACUGAGACACGGCCCAGACUCCUACGGGAAGCAGCAGUGGGGAAUCUUGCGCAAUGGGCGAAAGCCUGACGCAGCCAUGCCGCGUGAAUGAUGAAGGUCUUAGGAUUGUAAAAUUCUUUCACCGGGGACGAUAAUGACGGAACCCGGAGAAGAAGCCCCGGCUAACUUCGUG